rnacentral:tRNA from 1 species
AGUAAGAGAAAGAUUUUAACUUUCAUUUUUGGGGUAUGGGCCCAGUAGUUUAGCUAACUUAUCUUACUA